rnacentral:rRNA from 1 species
UACUCCUACGGGAGGCAGCAGUGGGGAAUAUUGGACAAUGGGCGAAAGCCUGAUCCAGCCAUGCCGCGUGUGUGAAGAAGGUCUUCGGAUUGUAAAGCACUUUAAGUUGGGAGGAAGGGCAGUAAAUUAAUACUUUGCUGUUUUGACGUUACCGACAGAAUAAGCACCGGCUAACUCUGUGCCAGCAGCCGCGGUAAUACAGAGGGUGCAAGCGUUAAUCGGAAUUACUGGGCGUAAAGCGCGCGUAGGUGGUUCGUUAAGUUGGAUGUGAAAUCCCCGGGCUCAACCUGGGAACUGCAUUCAAAACUGACGAGCUAGAGUAUGGUAGAGGGUGGUGGAAUUUCCUGUGUAGCGGUGAAAUGCGUAGAUAUAGGAAGGAACACCAGUGGCGAAGGCGACCACCUGGACUGAUACUGA